AUGUAUUGCGAAGAUGAGGAAGAAGAGCUCGACAUUGUGGAGGAGGCAUUGUUUAUCGAUGAGCUCACCCAAAGAGCUGAGGCACAAAGGAGGAAGCAAAGCAUUCGCAAGGGAUCAUACACCAAAGUAGAGGACACGUUGAUUUGCGAGAGUUGGAUGGAGAUAGGCCAAGAUCCCAAGACCGGUGCCGAGCAAAAGGAUCUGUUUUUUGGAAGAGUGCAUACAACCUUUCAUGAACAGAGGAAGUUGCCACCCUACAAGUUUGCGAGCACCCGUGGCAUUAACUCAAUCCAAAAGAGAUGGGGGUUCAUUCAACAAGAAUGCAACAAGUAUUGUGCCACACUUGAGAGCGCUGAAACCCAUCCCAUGAGUGGCCUAGGCGUGGGUGACUUAGUAUGA
rnacentral:rRNA from 1 species